GUACAGUCUGUGGUGAUUCUGUGUGGGGGCAGGAUAUACCUGAAACCAACUCCAGCUUUGCCCCCUUUGGAAGCUGGGACUCAACUUCCCUUCGAAAUUCCGUGGCUGUGUUCAGCUAUCCUGAGAAGAGCUGGCUAGCAAGGGAGGUUUUCAAUGUAAACAACAGUGGGGUCUGAAUCUAGAAGCCAGAAUGGAACCUCAAGCCACAUGUCGCUUGUGCAACCAAUGUGUGUGCUGAGAGAUCACAGUGCGCUGGCUCAGGAUGGAAGCAGCUUUCCUGUUAGCUACAUGCUGUGAGAAGGAAAGGAGAAGUGAAGCCCCUUUGGUAACAGGAAGACAUUGAGGAGAAGGCAACGCCCAGCCCAGGCUGCACAGGCUCUGCCCCUUCCCCUCAUUGGAUGCACCUCCUGCAUUGCGUGUCUCUGUCACAAAGAGCUUGCAAUCAUCCACCAUGGGGCUAAUGACUAGUAUCUGUGUCUCAAGUGAGGCAGUCUCAAGAUGCAUUCUUGAGUGCCUUACCCAGCAGCCCAGGGGCAAUUCCAGAAGCCAGUUUCUCAACCCAAGUGCAGCUAUUAUUUUUUUGAAUGAGUCUAAUAAAGUAAUAAUUAAGUUCAUGUUGAACAAUGGCAGGAGAUAAAGAGGCAGGCAGAGCCCCCUCUGAAUCUUUAUUCCCAUUGCAUCAAAGGUGGCCUGAAUUUAGUGCAAGGGAAAGGUCUUGAUCCAUUGCCCACUGUGAUAUUUCCAUUGACUUCAGUGGGCACUAGAUCAGGCCCCUAAUCUUUGAUCUCUGUUGUCAGCAAGGACACCAGUUAUUGCCAGCUGAGCUGGUGGAUGUAGUGAUGUGUGAUACUCAUCCCCUAGGGAAUGGAUGGAGAUCAGCCAAUGCUUGUCAUAUGUGCCACUGAACAGCCAUCAUGGGGUAAAAGUUGUUGUCUACCAAAUGCAGGCAUGUUUCUGGAAAUCUGCCUGUGUGUCUGCAAUUGGAUGUGCAAAAUGUCCAUCCAAUUUUCACACAG